ensembl:lncRNA
UGGGUAUGUAGAUGAUAUAUAGAUGGAUGUGUAAUGAUUAUGGUGCUAGCUGGGUAUGUAGAUGAUAUAUAGAUGGAUGUGUAAUGAUUAUGGUGCUAGCUGGGUAUGUAGAUGAUGUAUGGAUGGAUGUGUAAUGAUUAUGGUGCUAGCUGGGUAUGUAGAUGAUAUAUGGAUGGAUGUGUAAUGAUUAUGGUGCUAGCUGGGUAUGUAGAUGAUAUAUGGAUGGAUGUGUAAUGAUUAUGGUGCUAGCUGGGUAUGUAGAUGAUAUAUGGAUGGAUGUGUAAUGAUUAUGGUGCUAGCUGGGUAUGUAGAUGAUAUAUGGAUGGAUGUGUAAUGAUUAUGGUGCUAGCUGGGUAUGUAGGUGAUAUAUGGAUGGAUGUGUAACGCCAGGCGACUCUACGAGUGCCAGGAGCGUGUGAUGAGAGGUGUGUGUGAGGUGUGUGUCUGUGCCUUUGUGUGCGUGUCAUGCAUGCGUACGAAAUUAGCUGUGAAUUACGGCAGAUUUAUAU